rnacentral:rRNA from 1 species
CAGCAGCCGCGGUAAAACGGAGGGGGCUAGCGUUGUUCGGAAUUACUGGGCGUAAAGCGCACGUAGGCGGCUUGGUAAGUUAGAGGUGAAAGCCUGGAGCUCAACUCCAGAAUUGCCUUUAAGACUGCCGAGCUAGCAGGUGAGAGAGGUAAGUGGAAUUCCGAGUGUAGAGGUGAAAUUCGUAGAUAUUCGGAAGAACACCAGUGGCGAAGGCGGCUUACUGGCUCAUACUGGACGCUGAGGUGCGAAAGCGUGGGGAGCAAACAGGAUUAGAUACCCGCGUAGUCCCUGUCUCUUAUAC